rnacentral:rRNA from 1 species
ACCAUGGUUGUAACGGGUAACGGAGAAUUAGGGUUCGACUCCGGAGAGGGAGCCUGAGAAACGGCUACCACUUCUAAGGAAGGCAGCAGGCGCGCAAAUUACCCACUCUCGGCACGAGGAGGUAGUGACGAAAAAUAACGAGACGGUUCUCUUAUGAGUACCGUCAUCGGAAUGAGAACAAUCUAAAUCCUUUAACGAGGACCUAGCGGAGGGCAAGUCUGGUGCCAGCAGCCGCGGUAAUUCCAGCUCCGCCAGUGUAUAUCUAUGCUGCUGCGGUUAAAAAGCUCGUAGUUGGAUCUGCGUGCUUGAAGCCGGUCCGCCUUCUAGGCGAGUACUGGACUUCAGCACUGAAUCGUUGGUUUUCCUCUGAUGCCUUUAACCGGGUGUCAUGGGUGACUAACAUGUUUACUUUGAACAAAUUAGAGUGCUUAAAACAGGCGUUUAGCUUGAAUAUUCGUGCAUGGAAUAAUAGAAUAGGACCUUGGUUCUAUUUUGUUGGUUUUCGGAACACAAGGUAAUGAUUAAGAGGGACAGACGGGGGCAUUCAUAUUGCGACGUUAGAGGUGAAAUUCUUGGAUCGUCGCAAGAUGACCUACUGCGAAAGCAUUUGCCAAGAAUGUUUUCAUUAAUCAAGAACGAAAGUUAGAGGUUCGAAGGCGAUCAGAUACCGCCCUAGUUCUAACCGUAAACGAUGCCAACUAGCGAUCUACUGGUGUUAUUUUAGACCCAGUAGGGAGCUUCCCGGAAACGAAAGUGUUCCGGUUCCGGGGGAAGUAUGGUUGCAAAGCUGAAACUUAAAGGAAUUGACGGAAGGGCACCACCAGGAGUGGAGCCUGCGGCUUAAUUUGACCCAACACGGGAAAACUCACCCGGCCCGGACACCGUAAGGAUUGACAGAUUGAGAGCUCUUUCUUGAUUCGGUGGGUGGUGGUGCAUGGCCGUUCUUAGUUGGUGGAGUGAUUUGUCUGUUUAUUCCGAUAACGAACGAGACUCCAACCUACUAACUAGUGGGCAGAUCUUCGUGUCUGCAACACUUCUUAGAGGGACAAGCGUUGUUUAGCCGCAUGAGAAGGAGCAAUAACAGGUCUGUGAUGCCCUUAGAUGUCCGGGGCUGCACGCGCGCUACACUGAAGGAAUCAGCGUGCUAGAAAACCUUGUUUGACAUGGCUAGGUAACCCCUUGAAAAUCCUUCGUGAUUGGGAUCGGGACUUGCAAAUGUGUCCCUUGAACGAGGAAUUCCCAGUAAGUGCGGGUCAUAAGCUCGCGCUGAUUACGUCCCUGCCCUUUGUACACACCGCCCGUCGCUGCCCGGGGACUGAACCGUUUCGAGAAGACUGGGGAUCGCUGACUUAGGGCCUUCACGGGCUUUUUGUCGGUGAAAACCAUUUUAAUCGCAGCGGUUUGAACCGGGCAAAAGUCGUAACAAGGUU